AUUGAACGCUGGCGGCAUGCCUAACACAUGCAAGUCGAACGCCCCGCAAGGGGAGUGGCAGACGGGUGAGUAACGCGUGGGAAUCUACCUAGUUCUACGGAACAACAGAGGGAAACUUCUGCUAAUACCGUAUACGCCCUAAGGGGGAAAGAUUUAUCGGAAUUAGAUGAGCCCGCGUAAGAUUAGCUAGUUGGUGGGGUAAUGGCCUACCAAGGCGACGAUCUUUAGCUGGUCUGAGAGGAUGAUCAGCCACACUGGGACUGAGACACGGCCCAGACUCCUACGGGAGGCAGCAGUGGGGAAUAUUGGACAAUGGGCGCAAGCCUGAUCCAGCCAUGCCGCGUGAGUGAUGAAGGCCCUAGGGUUGUAAAGCUCUUUCAGUGGGGACGAUAAUGACGGUACCCACAGAAGAAGCCCCGGCUAACUUCGUGCCAGCAGCCGCUGUAACAC
rnacentral:rRNA from 1 species